GUAAUAAAAUACAAACACAUUAUCACCAAUUGAUACACACACGCAUCUAUACCAAAAAAUCUCAAACGAUACCAUCGGUGCCCUAAUUUUGAAACAGAGAUCUGCUGAACGACCAGAGUUCUGCUCAAUCGAUACACCUCCGUCCGGCGAUUGGAGCUAUAAUCGAUACGCCUCUCACAGAGCUCAAUCCACAGCGCCUCCGUCCGGCGAUUGAAUCUAUCCAACAAAGCCUCCUCCGACCAGAGUUCUAUAAAUCGAUACGCCUCUCACAGAGCUCAAUCCACAGCGCCGGUGACUCGCCGUGAAAUCGCUGAAGGUAUAUUUGCUGUUAUAGGUUUUUGAUUGCAGAUCUACUCGCAGAGAAGAUCAGAGAUUAUUAUUAUUUGAGUGAGAUAUCAAGUGCGGAUAAACUUGAAGAUCAAAAUUGUUUCUAUAUCUCCAUGUGGAGCAGUAGAUGCAGAGGCUAAGAAAGUUCAAGCUAGCUGUGUUGUAUUGGACAUGAAGCUCAAACAUUAACAAAAGCAUUGUAUGAAAGACUUGCAAUGCGACAUUGUGAAAAUGAAAAAAACACAGCCAAAAGUUCUACAUCUAACUUUAGUUGGAUCACCUAAGAAGAAACUUGAAGCUAAUUGUCCAUUGUAUCAUCGUUUUUAGCUCUGUAACCAAUAGUUUAUUAAAAAAGGAUAAGUCAUUAGCCGGAAAGUUGAGAUUGACCUUAGUUCUGAUCGAGAAUUCUGAACUAAACAUGGCGCAGAGUAGAUGGGAAGCUGAUAAGACGUAAGAACUUAUCAUUGUUUCUGGUAUUACUUCAUUCUUCAAAUUAUUUGCUUUAGGGAAAGAUUCUUUUAACAUCUUUAUUAUAACAUGUCUAUUCAUAAGUAUUCAUAUAUUUUGUUAUGUUCUUUUGCCCUUGAAUGUAUUUGACUGCAGAAAUAAAAUGCCAUGAAUUUAAACAGAUGUUGGAUAAACACUGGGGUGGGGAACAUUGGUUAUAGUGGGUGUUGCAGCAUCAGGUCAAGAGAUAGCAACCCACCCAUUUCAACUGGUUACUGGUCGUGUUUGGAAAGGGACCGCUUUUGGUGGUUUUAAGAGCCAUUCACAAGUGCCUCAGCUUGUUGAUAAGUUAUUUUACAGGAGAAAAUAAGAGGUUGGACGUUCCAGAAAAUGUAGGUUUUGACGAUUUUGGCAAUGAAUCGUAGGUGGACAUUAAUGUAGGAUGCUUGUUUAUUUUACAGUUAUAGGCGUUUUUUAAGGUGUUAAAUAUCAAGUGAUUUGAUGUAAAGUUAAUGUUAUAAACAUGGAAUGCCAUGAACAUCAUCACCAACCCCACAUUGGGAUUGUCCUAGAUAUAUGAAAAUGAUUGUUUGAUCGUAUUAAAUUUCGUGUUGUAGAAGAUUAUAUGUUUUUGUCUUGUCUUUUGUAGCUAAUUGUCUUAAAAUGAUUUUUUUGGAAACUGCAGGUUUUUUAGCUUAAAAUGAUUGAGUGGGUCUAAUGUGAAAUGGGAUUAUAUGUGAUGUAGCAAGACCAAUACAACACACAUGUUAGACGAGGCGGUGGAGUGUGUCAAGUUUAUGCAAAGAAAGAUUCAGGAACUUAGGGAGCAUCAAGACAACUGCAAAUGUUAAUCAAUAUCAACAUGAAGAAAUGACUCAAGUGAUGUUUAUGUUGUGGGGAUCCCCUUGAAGACAAAAGCACAUGCAGGGCAUACAAAACUAACCACCACCACAAACUAAUAUGGAAUGAACAACAUAUUUCGGUUUAACAGGUCAUUUGUAGCGAAAUAGUCUGAACGUGUGUAUCAAACAUGUUAAACAAAGCGACCCAAAACCUGAAAUUGGAGUUGUCUUUUAGGACGCGUUAGAUAACGGGUCGAACCAAAGGCUGAUGUAUCAUUUGUUUAUCAGUAUUUUUUUGCUGAUUUUCCUGCAAAUUGUAGCAAAAAAAGCUGGAUUUUCCAUUUUUUUUUUGUUUUAUUAAAUAUUCCGUCACAAA